UACAGAGGUCUCAAGCGUUGUUCGGAUUCAUUGGGCGUAAAGGGUGUGUAGGUGGCGCGCUAAGUCGGGUGUGAAAUUUCGGAGCUUAACUCCGAAACUGCAUUCGAUACUGGCGUGCUUGAGGACUGGAGAGGAGACUGGAAUUCCGCGUGUAGCAGUGAAAUGCGUAGAGAUGCGGAGGAACACCGAUGGCGAAGGCAGCCCCCUGGGUCGACACUGACGCUCAGGCACGAAAGCGUGGGGAGCAAACAGG
rnacentral:rRNA from 1 species